rnacentral:misc_RNA from 1 species
AGUCGUAACAAGGUUUCCGUAGGUGAACCUGCGGAAGGAUCAUUACCGAGUGAGGGUCCUUGUGGCCCAACCUCCCACCCGUGUCUAUCUGUACCCUGUUGCUUCGGUGGGCCCGCCGCCUGUCGGCCGCCGGGGGGCUCUCCAGCCCCCGGGCCCGUGCCCACCGAAGACCCCAACUGAACCCUGUUCUGAAAGCUUGCAGUCUGAGUUGAUUAUCAUUAAUCAGUUAAAACUUUCAACAAUGGAUCUCUUGGUUCCGGCAUCGAUGAAGAACGCAGCGAAAUGCGAUAACUAAUGUGAAUUGCAGAAUUCAGUGAAUCAUCGAGUCUUUGAACGCACAUUGCGCCCUCUGGUAUUCCGGAGGGCAUGCCUGUCCGAGCGUCAUUGCUGCCCUCAAGCCCGGCUUGUGUGUUGGGUCCUCGUCCCCCUUCCCGGGGGGACGGGCCCGAAAGGCAGCGGCGGCACCGCGUCCGGUCCUCGAGCGUAUGGGGCUUUGUCACCCGCUCAGUAGGUCCGGCCGGCGCCUGUCGACCCCCAACCUUUUAUUUUUUUCAGGUUGACCUCGGAUCAGGUAGGGAUACCCGCUGAACCUAAGCAUAUCA